AGUCGAGGGGCAGCAGCUUUAUAGCAAUAUAGAGGCUGGCGACCGGCAAACGGGUGCGGAACACGUACACAACCUUCCUUGAAUAGGGGGAUAGCCCAUAGAAAUGUGGAUUAAUACCCCGUAAUAUAGCGGUGUGGCAUCACACUGUUAUUACAGUUUCGACGAUUCGAGAUGGGUGUGCGGCUGAUUAGGUAGUUGGCGGGGUAAAGGCCCACCAAGCCUUCGAUCAGUAGCUGAUGUGAGAGCAUGAUCAGCCACACGGGCACUGAGACACGGGCCCGACUCCUACGGGAGGCAGCAGUAAGGAAUAUUGGUCAAUGGACGCAAGUCUGAACCAGCCAUGCCGCGUGAAGGAUGAAGGUCCUCUGGAUUGUAAACUUCUUUUAUAGGGGGCGAAAAAAGGUCUUUCUAGAUCACUUGACAGUACCCUAUGAAUAAGCACCGGCUAACUCCGUGCCAGCAGCCGCGGUAAUACGGAGGGUGCAAGCGUUAUCCGGAUUCACUGGGUUUAAAGGGUGCGUAGGCGGGUAGGUAAGUCAGAGGUGAAAUCCUGGAGCUUAACUCCAGAACUGCCUUUGAUACUAUCUAUCUUGAAUAUGGUGGAGGUAAGCGGAAUAUGUCAUGUAGCGGUGAAAUGCAUAGAUAUGACAUAGAACACCUAUUGCGAAGGCAGCUUACUACGCCUAUAUUGACGCUGAGGCACGAAAGCGUGGGGAUCAAACAGGAUUAGAUACCCUGGUAGUCCACGCCCUAAACGAUGAUUACUCGACGUAUGCGAUACACAGUAUGCGUCUGAGCGAAAGCAUUAAGUAAUCCACCUGGGAAGUACGACCG
rnacentral:rRNA from 1 species